rnacentral:rRNA from 1 species
GACAGAGGUGCCAAGCGUUAGGCGGAAUCACUGGGCUUAAAGCGUGUGUAGGCGGGUGCCUAAGUACCUUGUGAAAUCCCACGGCUCAACCGUGGAACUGCUGGGUAUACUGGGUGCCUUGGGUCAUCUAGGGGCUGCCAGAACAAAUGGUGGAGCGGUGAAAUGCGUAGAUAUCAUUUGGAACGCCAACGGCGAAGGCACUCUGCUGGGCCGACACUGACACUGAGAGACGAAAGCUAGGGGAGCGAAUGGG